rnacentral:rRNA from 1 species
UACGAAGGGGGCUAGCGUUGCUCGGAAUGACUGGGCGUAAAGGGCGCGUAGGCGGUUUGCACAGUCAGGUGUGAAAUUCCCCGGGCUCAACCUGGGGGCUGCACUUGAUACGUAGGAACUGGAGUGGGGAAGAGGGUCGUGGAAUUCCCAGUGUAGAGGUGAAAUUCGUAGAUAUUGGGAAGAACACCGGUGGCGAAGGCGGCGACCUGGUCCUUGACUGACGCUGAGGCGCGAAAGCGUGGGGAGCAAACAGG